GACGAACGCUGGCGGCGCGCCUAACACAUGCAAGUCGAACGAGCGAGAGAGAGCUUGCUUUCUCAAGCGAGUGGCGAACGGGUGAGUAACGCGUGAGGAACCUGCCUCAAAGAGGGGGACAACAGUUGGAAACGACUGCUAAUACCGCAUAAGCCCACAGCUCGGCAUCGAGCAGAGGGAAAAGGAGCAAUCCGCUUUGAGAUGGCCUCGCGUCCGAUUAGCUAGUUGGUGAGGUAACGGCCCACCAAGGCGACGAUCGGUAGCCGGACUGAGAGGUUGAACGGCCACAUUGGGACUGAGACACGGCCCAGACUCCUACGGGAGGCAGCAGUGGGGAAUAUUGCACAAUGGGGGAAACCCUGAUGCAGCGACGCCGCGUGGAGGAAGAAGGUCUUCGGAUUGUAAACUCCUGUUGUUGAGGAAGAUAAUGACGGUACUCAACAAGGAAGUGACGGCUAACUACGUGCCAGCAGCCGCGGUAAAACGUAGGUCACAAGCGUUGUCCGGAAUUACUGGGUGUAAAGGGAGCGCAGGCGGGAAGACAAGUUGGAAGUGAAAUCUAUGGGCUCAACCCAUAAACUGCUUUCAAAACUGUUUUUCUUGAGUAGUGCAGAGGUAGGCGGAAUUCCCGGUGUAGCGGUGGAAUGCGUAGAUAUCGGGAGGAACACCAGUGGCGAAGGCGGCCUACUGGGCACCAACUGACGCUGAGGCUCGAAAGUGUGGGUAGCAAACAGGAUUAGAUACCCUGGUAGUCCACACCGUAAACGAUGAUUACUAGGUGUUGGAGGAUUGACCCCUUCAGUGCCGCAGUUAACACAAUAAGUAAUCCACCUGGGGAGUACGACCGCAAGGUUGAAACUCAAAGGAAUUGACGGGGGCCCGCACAAGCAGUGGAGUAUGUGGUUUAAUUCGACGCAACGCGAAGAACCUUACCAAGUCUUGACAUCCCUUGACGAACAUAGAAGUAUGUUUUCUCUUCGGAGCAAGGAGACAGGUGGUGCAUGGUUGUCGUCAGCUCGUGUCGUGAGAUGUUGGGUUAAGUCCCGCAACGAGCGCAACCCUUACUGUCAGUUACUACGCAAGAGGACUCUGGCAGGACUGCCGUUGACAAAACGGAGGAAGGUGGGGAUGACGUCAAAUCAUCAUGCCCUUUAUGACUUGGGCUACACACGUACUACAAUGGCGUUAAACAAAGAGAAGCAAGACCGCGAGGUGGAGCAAAACUCAGAAACAACGUCCCAGUUCGGACUGCAGGCUGCAACUCGCCUGCACGAAGUCGGAAUUGCUAGUAAUCGUGGAUCAGCAUGCCACGGUGAAUACGUUCCCGGGCCU
rnacentral:rRNA from 1 species